rnacentral:lncRNA from 1 species
AUGGAGCCUGGGGCUGGCACACCUUUGGCACAAGUCCAGCCUGGGGAAAGCUGGGGGCCCUACAUUCCUGGUAACUGGUUUCUCAGAAGCUCCGGUUCCCAAAAGCAAAUGCUUUCAGAAUGGGAAACUCCCCGGUCCAAUCCUGAGCCAGCUUCCCCAGAGCCCACGCAUACCCCCAGAAUAAAUACAGCCCCUGCCAGCCGCCUCCUCCGCACCUCCACGCAGCCUCCCCGGGAAGAGCGGGCCUGCAGCAGCUCCACCAUGAAACUCCUCGCCAUCCUGCUGCUGGCCAGCCUGGCCUCCACCUCCCUUGCUGUCCUGCAAGUGCCAGAAGACAAACUCGCGCCUGAACACCCAAACGCCCGUGAGUGUCCCGCUGACAUCCCUGUUAGAGGAAGUGGGUGGCGGGGCAAGGUUGUCCAGUAAAGCAUGAACUCUCCCCCGGGGGACACAGUGCUGCAGACAGAGCCCCUCCUGGCUUGAGCCUUCCUGAUGCACUCACUGGCCAAGGUCUCCAGGCCAGGAAUCAGUGGAGCUGCACCACAGGUGCAGUCCUUGACAGAGUAGGUAGAGGAGACCCCUGAUGGCCUGGUGAGGACUCAGAUGGGUGAAUAGGAAGACAGGGUGGUCCCAGUGGAAAUUUGGGGUGCAGACUGCUUGCCUUCCUGCCAGGCUUAUCUUUGAGCAAGGUCAAAAGCACAUGCCUGCCCACUCCUUGAAAGCCUCCAAAUUUACAUGAGAAUAGCAAGGGGGUAGUGGCUGUACCCUCCUGACUCACAGUUUACAGUGAACACAAGUGACCUAGCUCACCCUUCCCCAAGCCAGAUAGGAUAAAGCAUCGUCAGUAGGUCUUUUGAGGGGUUUUGUCCCUGCCUUGUGACUGAAUGUCAAUCUGAUUGCCAAGUUUUGUUUUUCCAAAAUUGUGCUUAAAAACCUAACUACCACCUGGCCCUGCAGGUCUUUUCCUGUCUUGGAAGCCCCCUCUCCAUGCCCCUCUGGCUGGGGGCCUUUGACUCUAGUAAGUCUUGCUUUUUAAAUCUCUCUGCUUGUCCGCUUGGAAAUUCAUCUUCCAUGUGAGACAAAGAACCGAGGUC